rnacentral:rRNA from 1 species
UACGGAGGGUGCGAGCGUUGUCCGGAAUCACUGGGCGUAAAGCGCACGUAGGCGGCUUUUAAGUCAGAGGUGAAAUCCUGGAGCUCAACUCCAGAACUGCCUUUGAUACUGGAGAGCUUGAGUCCGGGAGAGGUGAGUGGAACUGCGAGUGUAGAGGUGAAAUUCGUAGAUAUUCGCAAGAACACCAGUGGCGAAGGCGGCUCACUGGCCCGGUACUGACGCUGAGGAGCGAAAGCGUGGGGAGCGAACAGG